rnacentral:rRNA from 1 species
UACGUAGGGGGCAAGCGUUGUCCGGAUUUAUUGGGCGUAAAGGGCGCGUAGGCGGCUUGGCAAGUGGAUGGUGAAAUCCCUCGGCUUAACCGAGGAACUGCCAUCCAGACUGCUUUGCUUGAGGCCGGGAGAGGUGAGUGGAAUUCCCAGUGUAGCGGUGAAAUGCGUAGAUAUUGGGAGGAACACCAGUGGCGAAGGCGGCUCACUGGACCGGUUCUGACGCUGAUGCGCGAAAGCGUGGGGAGCAAACGGG